rnacentral:ncRNA from 1 species
AAUUCGCCAAGCGUCGGAUUGUUCACCCGCCAACAGGGAACGUGAGCUGGGUUUAGACCGUCUUGAGACAGGUUAGUUUUACCCUACUGAUGACUAGUCAUUGCGAUAGUAAUCCUGCUCAGUACGAGAGGAACCGCAGGUUCGGAUAUUUGGUUGACGCUUGGUCGAGCGGGCAAGGGUGCAAAGCUACCAUCCGUGGGAUUAGGCCUGAACGCUCUAAGGCCGUAUCCUCUCUAGUCAAAGGUGGCAAUGAUAUAUCUAGGAAUCUCGUGAGUCGAAAAGGCUCAAAACAAUGUGACACUACUAGGCGGCCGGUUGUCCUUUGCGGGGUGGACCAAUCGUCGCACGAGCCCGGUUUGCCGUACGGCGCCAUCGUCCGUCGUCGAGAUCUCACCGCCUACAAAGGCGCAACGUCUAACAGUCAAACAUGAGUUUUGCGAGUUCGAUGUCGAGACUCGGAAUCGUCUGUAGACGACUUAGGUACCUGGCGGGGUGUUGUACUCCAUAGAGCAGCGAUCUGUUGAGACUCAGCCCUCGGCUUGGGGAUUCGU